UCCACCACCUUAUAUUUUUCCAAUGAGACUUCCACUGCCGAGACUCUAUCCACCUCUGUAAUGUUCGUUGAGCCGGAGCUAGGACAAAGAUUCUGCAUGUGUCCAAACCUGCCAUAAUAGAAGCACACUAACGGGAGCGAUUCGAAUUCAACCCUCUGAACCACUUUCUUAACCAGGAUCUGUGAGAUCAGAAGUUUUCCCAGAUCGAUGAACACUGCCAUUUGGGUAAAUUUGCCUCUCGAGCCCUUGUCCAUCUGAAAGUCGAGUUUCGUGACUUUACCUAUCAGACUCCCUAUCUAUUGCAAAACACACUAUUUGUAAAGGUCACUUGGCAGACCAAGCAACCAGACCCAGACCAUAGUGCUACUGGGAAAGUCUUGAAGGGGAUUAAACUUUGGGGGUCCACGAUUGAACAGUGAGGUACUGUCUGAUCACGAUCCACGACCCUUGGGGGAGAACUUUCUUGUAGUCCUCUCGGCUUUGAAAUCUAGCUAGGAAAUAUCCAUUUUCAACAUCCAUGAGAUGGAACUAUUGUGAGGGUUUUCAGAGGUUGUGAAUCCUAUUUUGUAGGAGGGUGUAGGAUAAGUUCCGACCUAAUAGUUUAACCACCACUGUGGUCGUCAUAUCUCUAACGACAAUUUGUUGGAUCCUUUCGGAGAAAUUGAUUGCUGGAAUUCCAUUGACAUUAGUCCUCAUGAUAUCUCAUUCUAUAAAGUCAAAGUCCUCAUCGCAACCAGAUCCAGAAAUCCCUCGUCCCAGAACUUUGUCUAUCCAAGACAUUCCCGAUGUUGGUGUUGAAUCUACGGCCAUAUCGCUAUUCGAAUUUGAAUCCAAGUCCUUAAAACGAACUUUUUUGGUGUUCCGAUCAAUCGAGUUGUCACCUCCGCCAUCCUCAGUCAUCUAUAUCAGUUGAUUUUAUUUUCUCUUAUCAGUGCUUUGAUUAAAUGAUAACGAUGUUCACAUCAACAUAUAUUUUAAUGUUUUAGUAGGUACCUAAAAAAGCAUAAAGUUAGUUUAUGUUUUCCAAG
rnacentral:lncRNA from 1 species